rnacentral:tRNA from 1 species
UAGUCUAGUGAUUAAGGCUACGGAUCGCCAAUCCGGAGACGGCGGGUUCGAUUCCCGU